AAUGGUACGUGGUAGCAAAAGUCAAACGUCGGUUGUAACAAAUAUUUACGUGACGUGUAUGCAACUUUUUUAGUGAAUGGUUGCAACAAAACAUGAUGCCGGUUGUAGCAAAAAUUAACACGGUUAUAGCAAAAAGUAAAAAACAUCGAUUGUAACGAAAAAUCCGACGAACUGGAGUUGCAACCAAACGUAUAUGCAACUUUUUUACUGGGA
rnacentral:lncRNA from 1 species